ACACAAAGUGUAAAAUGCCAUUUUCAAUAGACCGGAAACGAUAGAGCCGCUUUUCCCUGAACGUAGAAGCUAAAGUGCAAAGGGCCCAUUGUCAAGAAAAUCCCACUUCCCCAUGGACCUUACCACAGGGGCCACUUUUCAUUGGCUGAUGCCCAUUCUACGUGGUCAUGUGCGUGGCCGUCUCACAAACACACGCUUCCCGUUAGAUAAGUACAGCAUAUUGGCAGUACUGAUACGACUUCUACACCUUGAAGCCUGUCUGCUACAUACACAGUCUUACCUUAGCUAAAGAGAUCAAUAUGCAAUGUGUACUGUAUCUGACAUACACUAAAAAUUUUAUUUUAGGAGAAAAGGCUUUGGACUAAACUGUUACUCAUGUUAGCCACUCUAUCACCAACAGUGAUGUCGGACAACCUUUUUCCAGUAACGAGUAAUCUAACGCGUUGCUAUUUCAAAUCCAGUAGUCAGACUACAGUUACUUAUCGAAAUCACUUUGCGUUACUGUGCGUUACUAUCUUCU